UGGGGAAUAUUGGACAAUGGGCGCAAGCCUGAUCCAGCCAUGCCGCGUGUGUGAAGAAGGCCUUAGGGUUGUAAAGCACUUUCAGUGGGGAGGAAGGGUGUUGUGUUAAUAGCACAGCAUUUUGACGUUACCCACAGAAGAAGCACCGGCUAACUCCGUGCCAGCAGCCGCGGUAAUACGGAGGGUGCAAGCGUUAAUCGGAAUUACUGGGCGUAAAGCGCACGCAGGCGGCUUUUUGAGUCGGAUGUGAAAGCCCCGAGCUCAACCUGGGAAUUGCAUCUGAUACUGGGAAGCUAGAGUAUGUGAGAGGGGGGUAGAAUUCCAAGUGUAGCGGUGAAAUGCGUAGAGAUUUGGAGGAAUACCAGUGGCGAAGGCGGCCCCCUGGCACAAUACUGACGCUCAGGUGCGAAAGCGUGGGGAGCAAAAGCGGAUUAGAGUACCCUGGUCAGGUCCAUCGCCGUAAAACCGAUGUCUACUAGAUGUUCGUGGUCUUGUACCGUGAGUAUCGCAGCUAACGCAUUAAGUAGACCCGCCUGGGGAGUAC
rnacentral:rRNA from 1 species